rnacentral:rRNA from 1 species
UUCUGCCAGAUUAUUCAAGAGGGAACCCCCGGCGGGGGAAGGCGCCUUUUNCUGGCGUGUAACUGACCACUGAGGCACGAAAGCCAUGGGGAGCAAACAGGAUUAGAUACCCCUGGUAGUCCCAUGCCGUAAACGAUGGGUACUAGGUGUUUCCCAUCUUUGAUGGGAGUGCCGCAGCUAACGCAUUAAGUACCCCCACCUGGGGAGUACGUCGGCAACGAUGAAACUCAAAGGAAUUGACGGGGACCUGCACAAGCGGUGGAGCAUGUGGUUUAAUAGGACACUACACCUGGAACCUUACCAGGGCUUGACAUCCUUGUGAAAGCCUGAUGAAAGUCAGGCCCUCCCUCUGGGACGCAAGGACAGGUGUUGCAUGGCUGUCGUCAGCUCGUGCCGUGAGGUGUUGAGUUAAGUCUCGCAACGAGCGCAACCCUUAUUUUUAGUUGCCACUUCGGUGGAUCUCUAAAAAGACUGCCCGGGAUAACCGGGAGGAAGGUGAGGAUGACGUCAAGUCAGUAUCGGCCCUUACGGCCCUGGGCUAACACACGUGGCUAGCA